GACAGAGGUCCCGAGCGUUAGGCGGAAUCACUGGGCUUAAAGCGUGUGUAGGCGGAUCGUUAAGUGCCUUGUGAAAUCCCAUGGCUUAACCAUGGAACUGCUUGGCAUACUGGCGGUCUUGAGCCACUUAGGGGCAACCGGAACAAAUGGUGGAGCGGUGAAAUGCGUAGAUAUCAGGAGGAACACCGGUGGUGUAGACGGCUUUCUGGACCGUAACUGACGCUGAGACACGAAAGCGUGGGGUAGCAAACAGG
rnacentral:rRNA from 1 species